rfam:Ipomoea nil DNA, scaffold: scaffold2165, cultivar: Tokyo-kokei standard.
GCUUUUGUAGCUUAGUUGGUUAGAGCACCUGUUUAGUAAGCGGGAGGUCUUUAGUUCAACUCUCAAUAAGAGCA